CUGAGCUACUGAUGAUACAAAGUUAUCCCUGUCUGAAAAGAGAAAGUUGUUCUUUUUGUGGAAUUGUGGAUUCUGAAGCUCAG
ensembl:snoRNA